GCCCUUAGAGUUUGAUCCUGGCUCAGGACGAACGCUGGCGGCGUGCUUAACACAUGCAAGUCGAACGGUCUAUAAGGGCUUGCCCUUAUAGGUAGUGAGCGAACGGGUGCGUAACACGUGAGUAACCUGCCCCAUAGUUUGGAAUAACACCGGGAAACCGAUGCUAAUACCAAAUAUGCUCGCACUAGCACAAGCUAGAGCAAGGAAAGAUUUAUCGCUUUGGGAGGGGCUCGCGGCCUAUCAGCUUGUUGGUGAGGUAACGGCUCACCAAGGCUUCGACGGGUAGCUGGUCUGAGAGGACGAUCAGCCACACUGGGACUGAGACACGGCCCAGACUCCUACGGGAGGCAGCAGUGGGGAAUAUUGCGCAAUGGGCGAAAGCCUGACGCAGCAACGCCGCGUGGAGGAUGAAGGCUCUAGGGUCGUAAACUCCUUUCAGCAGGAAAGAAAAUGACGGUACCUGCAGAAGAAGCUCCGGCCAACUACGUGCCAGCAGCCGCGGUAAUACGUAGGGAGCAAGCGUUGUCCGGAUUUAUUGGGCGUAAAGAGCUCGUAGGCGGCUUAGAUAGUCGGAUGUUAAACCCCUAGGCUUAACCUAGGGCAGCCAUUCGAUACUACUAUGGCUAGAGUUCGGUAGGGGAUUGUGGAAUUCCCGGUGUAGCGGUGAAAUGCGCAGAUAUCGGGAGGAACACCAAUGGCGAAGGCAGCAAUCUGGGCCGAUACUGACGCUGAGGAGCGAAAGCGUGGGGAGCAAACAGGAUUAGAUACCCUGGUAGUCCACGCCCUAAACGUUGGGCACUAGGUGUGGGACCUACUUCGACGGGUUCCGUGCCGUAGCUAACGCAUUAAGUGCCCCGCCUGGGGAGUACGGCCGCAAGGCUAAAACUCAAAUGAAUUGACGGGGAAGGGC
rnacentral:rRNA from 1 species